rnacentral:rRNA from 1 species
CCCUUAGAUGUUCUGGGCCGCACGCGCGCUACACUGAUGCAUUCAUCGAGUCUAAAACCUGCUCUGAUAGGGGUGGGUAAUCUUUUGAAUGUGCAUCGUGAUUGGGAUAGAUGAUUGCAAUUUUUCAUCUUCAACGAGGAAUGCCUAGUAAACGCAAGUCAUCAGCUUGCAUUGAUUACGUCCCUGCCCUUUGUACACACCGCCCGUCGCUCCUACCGAUUGAAUGAUCCGAUGAAUAUCAUGGAUUGAGGAUGCAAGUAGGUUCGCCUAUCUUCAUCUUCGAGAAGUGAAGUAAAUCUUAUCAUUUAGAGGAAGGAGAAGUCGUAACA